UCGUGAAUUUUGGUUGCACAAAACCUGAGAAAUUCGAAGCGGAACCGAAUCAAACCGAGCGCGAGAGGCGGAGCGGCGGGGAGGCAGCAAUGGAGGCGCUGCUGGAGCUCGAGAGGGUGCAGAGGGUGCUCUCCCUCAUGAGUUCGCUCGGCCUCUGCGACGCCGGCUCCGGCGGCGGCGGCGCCGCCGCCGACCGCUUCCUCGCCCAGUUCCUCCUCUUCAUGGUGCGUUUCCCGGUGCAACCAUUUGAUUCUCUUAGCAUGGAGAAGAAGUUCCUAUUGGUCUCUGAGCUGUUAGGAAAGGCUACUCCUGAUACUCUGGAAGAGGUGCGGCAUCUAUCCCGUCUGGAAGCUGAUCAAGAUAUAUCUUCUGGAGCUUUACUCCAGCCAAAUAAGAAGUUCAAGAUGCAGGAUGACAAAUCAACCAUUCAGGCUGCGCCUAUGGUUGGUUUUGAUGCUAUGACAAGAGCCAAGUCUACACUUGAAGAUUUCUGCAGAUCGUACUUCAUGUUUCAUGGACUGGACGUUAACAAUCCACAAUUUGUUUUCAAGUAUCUACCUAUUCUUUCUUUCACAGAGAGCUACAUAUAUCAGUUAGAUGCUUCAAAUGAGGACUCUUUGGAUCUAGUCUCAGACGACAGCAGUUCUUCAAAAGCGUUGGAAAGGAAGAAAGAAGCUUUCGAUGAAACAUCCUUGUCUCAAAUGAUUGAACCCCUUAAUGGUCUUUUUCGGAGUCAGGGGUUAAUGACAGAUCGAUUGCGGACUGAACUCGAAUCAGGCAUUCAGUAUUGGUCUUUAGAGCGGAAGCUUUGUCAAGCAUUAUCAAGAAAUGAGAAGAUCUCAAUUGACGAUGUGAUGAAAGCAAUCCAUCUCAAAUCAUUUGAUUAUCGAGUUCUUAAUCUCUUGAUGUAUCAGCUAACUGGUCAGCAGGUCAAUGAAUUGCAUAUGGACUUCUUGUCAAUUUCUGAAUUUUUGGUUGAGAUAUCUGAUGACCUGUAUGAUUAUGAGGAUGAUGUGAUGAACAAUACUUUCAAUAUCCUCCGCAUGUAUGCUGCGAUAUAUGGACCUUCAGAGGCACCAAAUAUGCUGGCCAAGUGCAUAGGUGAGGCUGAAGAGAAGUAUGAGAGUUUCUCAAAGAAAUUGGACCCUAGUCUCUCAGGUAGUUACUGGAGAAGAUGUGAGGAAGCUACAAAGGAAGGUGGAAAAAUAUCAGGUCAUGCUUAUGGAACGUGGAAUAUCCGUCCUGUGAUAAGCGAUGAAGAAUCGUUCCGGCGUGAAAGAUCGAGCAAACAUGAUGCUUCUGUUGCGAUCAUUUGACGACAAUUUUUCAUGUUCCAAGCAUCUUCAAACUGAAGUUCAGUGUACACUGCUAGCUGUUGAGGGACCAGAGCAGCCGCGAUGGCCGCCGCCGACGAAGGGCACUCCAUCAAUGAUGAUCUUUGUAUGAUGGGGCUCCCUGGAGAUGACAAAGAGGAACUUGUGGCGGACUAGGAAGCCUUGUUCGGUCGUAGCGCCACCUCGCCAAUCAAUCUUGCUGCUGACAACGGCGACGGCGAUGGCGCGGGUGAUGCGGCUGGUGCUGGUGCCGAGCCCGACACCGUGACCACCGGCGCCAAGAGGAGGCGCCUGUGCACCUCUGAAGUCUGGAAUGAUUUCGACAAGGUCUACAAAAUUGUGGACGUGAAAUUGCGGAAGCCUGCACAACAACCCUUUACUGGUAGGAAGAAAACAGUCUGAGGUAAGAUUUUUGCAUUUGAUGGUGUUGGUGCUUCAAGUUCAAGUUCAUCUGGUAUGGAUUCUUGUAUUUCCUCCACCCCCACCCUCUCUAUCUAGAAGGACCUCACCAAGUGCCUUGCUGCAUGCAGCAAGCACUACUACUGGCCUUGGUAUUGGAUCUGAAUUGUCUUCAUAUUUAGAUAGUGACACUGUGGACCAAUAUGAUGAUGAUGAUUUCAACAUCUUAACCUGGUGGCAUGAGCACAAACUAACCUAUCCAGUGCUUUCAAUCUUAGCUAAGGAUAUUUUAAGUGUUCUUGUUUCUACCGUCUCUUCAGAAUCUGCAUUUAGUCUUACUGGCAGGAUCAUUGAAGAAAGGCGGCGUCAAUUGAACCCGGAGAUGGUGGAGAUGCUCACCUGCACCAAGGAUUGGGAAGCUGAUCAAGCAAGGACCCAACACUUAGUGGAGGACAAAGAUCUUGAAGCUUCGUUUAGAGAACUUUUUCUUGAUGGUCCAAAUUUGUAAUUGUAAUAUUGGGGUGUAACUAUACUGUAAUGUGGUUGAACUUGAACUAUUUGACUUGAUUUGGGCUGUACUCUUUUCCUAUCUAGGGUU